AUUAAGCGCAGUUAUGGGUUUCAGUGCCUAACGUUUGACCGUCCGUCUUAUUUGAAAAUUUUUUUACGAUUAGUAUUUUUGUUGUUAUUAGAUGAUAAAACAUGAAUAGUACUUUAUGUGUGACUUAAUUUUUAAAAUUGUUUCAUAAAUCUUUCAAAUAAGACGGAUGGUCAAACAUUGGACACGGAAACUUAUGGCUGCACUUAAA
rfam:Oryza sativa (indica cultivar-group) chromosome 1, whole genome shotgun sequence.